GAUGAACGCUGGCGGCGUGCCUAAUACAUGCAAGUCGAGCGAACAGACGAGGAGCUUGCUCCUCUGACGUUAGCGGCGGACGGGUGAGUAACACGUGGAUAACCUACCUAUAAGACUGGGAUAACUUCGGGAAACCGGAGCUAAUACCGGAUAAUAUAUUGAACCGCAUGGUUCAAUAGUGAAAGACGGUUUUGCUGUCACUUAUAGAUGGAUCCGCGCCGCAUUAGCUAGUUGGUAAGGUAACGGCUUACCAAGGCAACGAUGCGUAGCCGACCUGAGAGGGUGAUCGGCCACACUGGAAAUGAGACACGGUCCAGACUCCUACGGGAGGCAGCAGUAGGGAAUCUUCCGCAAUGGGCGAAAGCCUGACGGAGCAACGCAGCGUGAGUGAUGAAGGUCUUCGGAUCGUAAAACUCUGUUAUUAGGGAAGAACAAAUGUGUAAGUAACUAUGCACGUCUUGACGGUACCUAAUCAGAAAGCCACGGCUAACUACGUG
rnacentral:rRNA from 1 species